rnacentral:lncRNA from 1 species
UACAUGAAAACACCGUCCUUUCGGCGCCAUGGCUUACGUUGCCUAACAAUCACAGCAGGAAGAACCUUUUUCCUGAGGUCUGGCUUACCUUUCUUGACAGUGGCCAUAACCAUGUCACCAACACAAGCAGAAGGUAACCGAUUGAGACGACCUUUGAUUCCUUUGACCGAAAUGAUGUAAAGGUUCUUAGCCCCUGUGUUGUCUGCACAGUUCACUGUGGCUGCAACGGGCAGACCAAGUGACAUCCUAAAUUUGUUACCAGACGUUCCUCCACGACCUAAUCAAAUCAAACAACAAAACACAACCACCAUUACAACAGUACUCAACAACAUUUACCACUUUUGGUUUCAAUAAAACUCAUCUUCAUUCAAAAUUCAUUACUUUUGAUAUCAAAUGUUGCUAAUGAGCUGUCUAGAUGAAACCUAUACGUAGACCUAAAUCAAUUAUAUCCUUUGUUGAAACCUAAUUGAGUCAUAUUUCUUGGAAUUGAAGAAAUCGAGAUCAAAGUUCCAAUCUUUCAAGCAUACAAAAUUGAGAGUAGUAGAUUGAUUUCAAUUAUUUUAAAUCUAACAGUCAUGGAAGCUUCAAAAGCUUAUUAUACCAAAAUGCAACAGCUACGACAGAAGAAAGCUUAGAAU